CCCAGACUCCUACGGGAGGCAGCAGUGGGGAAUAUUGCACAAUGGGGGAAACCCUGAUGCAGCAACGCCGCGUGAGUGAAGAAGUCAUUCGUGAUGUAAAGCUCUCUCAGCAGGGAAGAAAAUGACGGUACCUGAGUAAGAAGCCCCGGCUAACUACGUGCCAGCAGCCGCGGUAAUACGUAGGGGGCGAGCGUUAUCCGGAUUCACUGGGUGUAAAGGGAGCGUAGACGGCCAAGCAAGCCAGGGGUGAAAGCCCGGGGCCCAACCCCGGGACUGCCCUUGGAACUGCAUGGCUGGAGUGCGGGAGGGGCAGGCGGAAUUCCAGGUGUAGGAGUGAAAUCCGUAGAUAUCUGGAGGAACAUCAGUGGCGAAGGCGACUAUCUGGCACAUAACUGACGCUGAGGAGCGAAAGCGUGGGUAGCAAACAGGAUUAGAUACCCGUGUAAU
rnacentral:rRNA from 1 species